rnacentral:rRNA from 1 species
UACGGAGGGGGCUAGCGUUGUUCGGAAUCAUUGGGCGUAAAGGGCUCGUAGGCGGUUCGUCACGUCGGGAGUGAAAACUCGGAGCUUAACUCCGAGCCUGCUUCCGAUACGGGCAGACUAGAGGUAGGCAGGGGAGAGCGGAACUCCUGGUGUAGCGGUGGAAUGCGCAGAUAUCAGGAAGAACACCGGUGGCGAAGGCGGCUCUCUGGGCCUUACCUGACGCUGAGGAGCGAAAGCGUGGGUAGCGAACAGG